rnacentral:lncRNA from 10 species
CACCCCAGGUAACUGUCUCUCCACAUCAAUCUAUUGAUUCUCACUGCAUGGAGUGAAGAAGAAACCACCAGAUCAGCUGUUAAAUGAGAAUGACCAUAAUACCCCAGAGAACUUCUGUGAGGAUUAAAUGGAUAUGCAAAAGCUCUCGACAUAAUACCUGGCUCAAGACAUCUGGGGAGGCAUUCAACUGGGACCUGCAGGAUUCGCUUUCAAUGUGGCUCACCCACAUGGCCAGGAGUGCAGACCAGGACCAGCUGUUUCUCUCCACAUGGGUUUCUUCAAGGACUUCUUGGGCUUCUUCAGAGCAUGCCAGCUGGAUUUCGUGAGUAAGCAUCUUAAGAG